ACCACGAGAGUGGGGACGUCAGCGGAACUGCCGGUGACAAACCGGAGGAAGGUGGGGACGGACGUCAAGUCAUCAUGGCCCUUAUGUCCUGGGCUACACACGUGCUACAAUGGCCGGUACAGAGCGCAGCGAGGCCGCGAGGCGGAGCGAAUCGCUUAAAGCCGGUCCCAGUACGGAUUGGAGUCUGCAACCCGACUCCAUGAAGUUGGAAUCGCUAGUAAUCGCGCAUCAGCAUGGCGCGGUGAAUACGUUCCCGGGCCUU
rnacentral:rRNA from 1 species